rnacentral:rRNA from 1 species
AGCUCCAAUAGCGUAUAUUAAAGUUGUUGCAGUUAAAAAGCUCGUAGUUGGAUUUCUGUCAAGAAAGACCAGUAAGCUCGUAUCGAGUUUCUACUUGGUUCCUUCUAGACAUCUUUCUGGUAUUUUGUAAGAACUUAAUUGUUCUUGCAAGUUCCAGAACUUUUACUUUGAGAAAAUUAGAGUGCUUCAAGCAGGCAAUUCGCCUUGAAUACUCCAGCAUGGAAUAAUAAGAUAGGAUUUCAGUUCUAUUUUGUUGGUUUCUAGGACUGAAGUAAUGAUUAAUAGGGACAGUUGGGGGCAUUCGUAUUUAACUGUCAGAGGUGAAAUUCUUAGAUUUGUUAAAGACGAACUACUGCGAAAGCAUUUGCCAAGGAUGUUUUCAUUAAUCAAGAACGAAAGU